CCUACCCCACCCCACCCCCGUAUGCAGCAUCUCUGGCGGUGCCCAGAGAGGGCACCGUGCGGUGUUCAGGCUUCUGUGAGGCCCCAGUGAGAUCCUGUGGCUGUGCCCCCAUCACCUCCACCCACUCUGCCCUCCCACUAGCUGCCCAACGGAUGAAUCAACGCCUUGGCAGAGUUUUCCAGCAGGGCCUUGCAGAGAGUGUGUGUGACCUGUGUGGCCACUGCCUUGGGGACGGGUGAGGAGUUAGCCUGGAACAUUCCAGCGUGGGCAUUAUUGUCCUGUUGCAAGUUCAGGGCAAAACCAGGAAUCCAGUUUUGUCGAUCCAAUUGAGAAAACAUUUCAUGAACAACUACUUGUGGCAUGCAUUGGCACUCGGAAUAAAGCGCACUAUUGUCACUA
rnacentral:lncRNA from 1 species